UAAAGAGGGACAAGCAGCUUUCAGCCAUAACAGGUCUGUGAUGCAACUACUUGUCCGAGCAGAUUGUGCUGCCCAGAAUGGAUCAACAUGUGGGACGAGAGGCCUGGCUAAACAUUCUCUAUGAUGCAUGAAAAAGCUGACUGUAACCCAAAUAACAAGGACAGGGCAGAAUUACAGUUUGUGCUGUUCUGAAGGAGUCACUUCAAGGCUGACGCGUCUGACGUUUGCUGGGGAUGGUGUUAGGCCGGAUUGUUGAAGGCAUUGAACACCCUAUAAUGUAUCUAGACCAGAAACAUUUGGACCGGAAGAGAAAGUACAGAAACAUUGAACAUGACACAUUCUGCAUAAAGUGGGCAAUUACCUGGGGCCUCAUGUAUAACGGCGUGCGUAGAACUCGCACUAUAACAUGGUG